GACGAACGCUGGCGGCAUGCCUAACACAUGCAAGUCGAACGGAGUUUUCUUAUUGGAUUCCUUCGGGAUGAAGAUAUUAAAACUUAGUGGCGGACGGGUGAGUAACGCGUGGGUAACCUGCCCUUUUGUGGGGAACAACUUCGAGAAAUUGAAGCUAAUACCGCAUACUCUUAAAGAGUCGCAUGACUUUUUAAGGAAAGAUGGCCUCUGAACAUGCUAUCGCAAAAGGAUGGACCCGCGUCUGAUUAGCUAGUUGGAAGGGUAACGGCCUACCAAGGCGACGAUCAGUAGCCGGCCUGAGAGGGUGAACGGCCACAUUGGGACUGAGACACGGCCCAAACUCCUACGGGAGGCAGCAGUGGGGAAUAUUGGGCAAUGGGGGAAACCCUGACCCAGCAACGCCGCGUGAAGGAAGAAGGCC
rnacentral:rRNA from 1 species